ACGGAAGUGGCGCAAUUGGAAGACGCAAUUGAUCAAGUACCCAAAAGGUUGACCCCCAACGGGGGGUUGGUGGGACGACUACCCUUAUCAGUCUGGUUGCAGGUUCAAGCCCUGCCUUCUGUU
rnacentral:tRNA from 2 species